UUGGAGGGCAAGUCUGGUGCCAGCAGCCGCGGUAAUUCCAGCUCCAAUAGCGUAUAUUAAAGUUGUUGCGGUUAAAAAGCUCGUAGUUGAACCUUGGGCCUGGCUGGCCGGUCCGCCUCACCGCGUGUACUGGUCCGGCCGGGCCUUUCCCUCUGUGGAACCCCAUGCCCUUCACUGGGUGUGGCGGGGAAACAGGACUUUUACUGUGAAAAAAUUAGAGUGCUCCAGGCAGGCCUAUGCUCGAAUACAUUAGCAUGGAAUAAUAGAAUAGGA
rnacentral:rRNA from 1 species